rnacentral:rRNA from 1 species
AGUGAACGCUGGCGGUAUGCCUAACACAUGCAAGUCGAGCGGCAGCACAGUAAGAUCUUGCUCUUACGGGUGGCGAGUGACGGACGAGUGAGACAUACAUCAGAAUCUACUUUGUCGUGGGUGAAACGGAGGGAAACGUACGCUUAUACCACAUUCUACCUACCGGUGAGGUCAGGUAGUCUUCGAAGCUUUCGCUGUUGCAUAUAGCGAGGUCGGAUUAGCUAGUUGGCGGGGUAAAGGCACACCAAGGCGACGAUCCGUAGCUGGUCUGAGAGGAUGAUCAGCCACACUGGAACUGAGACACGGUCCAGACUCCUACGGGAGGCAGCAGUGGGGAAUCUUGGACAAUGGGCGCAAGCCUGAUCCAGCCAUACCGCGUGGGUGAAGAAGGCCUUCGGGUUGUAAAGCCCUUUUGUUGGGAAAGAAAAGCAGCAGGUUAAUACACCGCUGUUCUGACGGUACCCAAAGAAUAAGCACCGGCUAACUUCGUG